rnacentral:sRNA from 1 species
ACGUGAUCACGUGCCCUUCAAACUUUUAAGAACUCUGAGCAGAGGCCAGUAAUUUUGGAGACAGGACCUCGGCCUGAAAGUGACAGAUGUCUUUGUUGUUGCUGAGUGUGGGCCAGGUGGGAGGUUUGUAAACGGGGGAUGAGGAACAGAGCGGGACCGGAGUGUCUCAUUUUUCCUCUUCUCGUUUUCCUGGGGAGUUAUAAGUUAGACAUUUAUGCUGCUUCCUUUGUCUCCACCUACACUGGUUCAGCUCCUUUUGGCACAAAGAUUCAACAAAUUGAGUGUUUGUUUUUUGAGACAGAGUCUCACUCUGUCGCCCAGGCUGGAGUGCAGUGGUGUGAUCUCAGCUCACUGCAACCUCCGCCACCCGGGUUCAAGCGAUUCUCCUGCCUCAGCCUCCUAAGUAGCUGGGAUUACAGGCACCCAUCACCGCACCCAGCUAAUUUGUUUUGUUGUUGUUGUUGUUUUGUUUGUUUUUUUGAGAUGGAGUUUCGCUCUCGUUGCCCAGGCUGGAGUGCAAUGGCGCGAUCUCGGCUCACCACAACCUCCGCCUCCCGGGUUCAAGUGAUUCUUCUGCCUCAGCUUCCUGCGUAGCUG